rnacentral:lncRNA from 1 species
AAAAAUUGAGACAAAACUUAUUGAAAUUGAGGAUUGAUUGCUAAAGCAGAGUGUUGUCAUGAUUGACCUCGAGCAAGAAGUCCACACUUUCGGCCACUUUGUUAAAACUAUUAAAAGAAAGGCCUCCAAUGCACCGGAAAGAUAAAAAUCAAUGUGAAGAAGCGUGAAAUUAAAUCAAAUAUAAAUAAGGUUUUGUAUAUGUACGGUAUUAAUCCAGACUAUUCAAACCAGAGGUUCUACAUAUUGUCAACGCCAUAGAAAGAUUCUAAUCUUCCAUUACUUUACUCUAAUAGGAGGAAUAUUAAGGAAUAAUUACUUUUAUUUUGUAAGUAUAUAUAGAAAUAGAGUAAUCUUUUGAAAAUAUUAAGUAUAGUUUCUAUGUCGGUCAUCUUGUAUUAAGGUUCAAUGUUAGUUAUUCCCCCUAUUUUGUAAUGAGAAUCUACAAUUUAUUAGUGUAAAGACCCUUAGAAAUGUUGUUUGAACGUUUUACCCUUCAUUAAAAAAUUUUGUUGUAGAAAAAAUCGUCUUUUUACUAUGUUUUUUUAAUAUUUAAAAGUUAAAAAUUAAUUAAUAUAGUUAUGGUAAAACUUUUUCUUAUUAGAACUCAUCAGAAUUAAUAACAACUAAUACUUUAUUCAUUAGUUUAAGAAUUCUAAAUCAACUAAAUUUGAUUUUAAGAAGAUUUAAAAAAUCUAGAAAUAAAAAAUGUUAGAAUAAGUAAAAUUUAAGAAGUACCAAAUUUUAAAAGUUUUAAAUACAUAUUUUUAUAAAAAUUUGACUUUAAAAAUAAAGAAAGAGUGAAAUGGUUCAACAAAGAUAUACAUGCUUCUGGUGGUACAUAUAUUUCGCCAAAGAUAUUUUAACAUUAUCAAACUUUAAGUUAUAAUUAUUCAUGAUGAUUAUUAGAUAAAUCAAGAUGGGUAAUUUCUUUACAGUCUUUCGACUUUCAUAUAGUAUACAAUGUGUAGUAACAAUUAUUGUUCUUUCUAUAAUUAGUUCAAACCUCAGGAGAAAACUGUCAUAGUUUUUGUAUGAAUUUUGAUACACAAACUCCUUUGGCACCCUUUUGAUCGGCAAAUUAUUUCUAGACUAGUCAGCAGUUUUGGUACGGUUGUGGCUCCCGACCAAGCUAUAUACUCUAAAUCUAGAGGUAAUGUUGCUAAAGUAAAAGCGGAGAUUGGUCUUCUGAAGCCAAUAUAAGAUUAGACUUGGAUGGGUUUUAAAAGAAUGGAUAGCAUCGAUGAUGGAAAAUGGCUCAACAUUUAAUAUGAAAAAGUGUGGAGCUAUUGUUUGUAUUGCAAAAUGCAGGGUCACCUUGAAUCCAAAUAUAGAAAAAAGGUUAAAGAUGAGAGGAUCAAAACACAAAGAGAUAAACUAAAUAAGCAGGGCAAAGAGCAACUCAAAGAUAUGGAAAAUUGUGAUGCCUUCCAAAUGUUUCUAAGAGAAAAGGUUUCAAAGCUAGAUUGAAUCAGUUUGGCGAGCAAUGAAACAAAAACAACCUUCAUCAAACACAACAUACUGAAAAAGGAUAAUCAGACCAAAGGCAUCACUAAAUUUGGCACAGGAUGAUCGGAGAACAAAAGGCAUUUCCAUAAAUAAACCUCCAGAUAAUCAAAAAGCACCCGACAUUUUUGAGGUACCUGAUAAAGUAAAAGGAAAGAUCGCGGAUCCUAUUGAGGUUGAUUGAACCAAAGUCACCACCAAGAAAAAAAGGAUCAGGUCUAAGAAUAAAAAUAUGACGGGGGAUUUUAAUCAAAAUAGUAGUAUGGAUUAUCAACAAAACAACAUCAAGGAGAAAGGGCAACCAAGUGGCAGCAAGAAAAUGUCACUAUUAAAAGUAAUAUCAACACUAAAUAUGACAAUUCUAAUUAGACGGACAUGACACAAAUUAGUGAACAGUCUGACAACGAUAUGAGAAAAAAGACAGAUAAAACCUGUCAACCUUCAAAUAUGAGCAAGAUUACGAAAGAAGAAGUGAAUAGUAAGAAUGACAAAGCGGCAACUUACCAUAUUAAUUUGGGUGAUGUUCACAACAAUUACCUAAAAUUGAUCAGUGGUGCCAACCUUGAAGAAGAACAAGACAAUGAAGAGAUUUACACUAAUAAGUUUAUCCACCAAGAAAUAUCUUCAUAUGAUGAUGAUCGUAGCACUGACGAUGAUGACUAUGAAAAUGAGAUGACUACGGAGGAAGCUGAUGACUUUGUC